GCAAGGCCAAGAGCCCACUCCCAGGGCUGUGCCUCCUUCAGUUGCCAGGGGGAAGGUUCUAGAACUUGGCGUGGUGUGGGCGCUAAGGCAGGUGCCUCCGUCUCCUUGUUGCGACCGAAGCGUCACGCGGCCCGGCCUGAGCGUGUUUCUGGCCCCUGCUUCUCGGACGGGACACCUCGAUGCUCGUCAGAAGGGCUCGCCAGUGUCUUGCCGCGAGUCAGCGCUGCUCUCGCAGGGACCCGAGGCAGCCGCACGCAGACCCCUGGACGGCGGCCACAUCUGGAGGGUCGGGGCUCCCACGGCCCCAGCACGUCGGCCUUGAUGCUCUGCCUUUUGUCUCCGAGGUUUUUACCGGUUUCGCUUGAUCAACAGCGUUCAUUCGUAGUGAACAAACGGAGUUCAGUUUUUAUGGCAUGAAGAUGAUUGUUCUCUGACCGACUAGCCAUUACACGGUGACACGGGGUGGCCCCAGAUGACACAGGACCAUGAAUCUUCGAGUUCCUGAGAGCCCCAGACGCUGGAUCGUUCUCCACACGUACGGAGCCUGCGCGCUCUCUGCUUUCUUGGUCGGGGUACUAGGAGGGCUCUGGCUUCCUCCAAGGACACCCGGUGGCCAGCUACUUUCUCUUUUCGGUCUCCCAGUGAACUUGCAGAUUUUCAGGUCUUGCUUGCGUUCCAUCCAUUGAAGCACAGCUCAGCACACCCUGAAUCUCACACCUCCUCCGUCCGGAGGGAUGACGGACUCGGGGAUUGCGAGGAUGUUCCAGGACUCGGAGCCGCGCUGGGCCGCUGACCUGGGCCUAGCGCGCACGCAUGGGAGACGGAGCUCAGCAGAGAGCUCCAGCCCGUGUGCGCCCCAUCGGUUAGGAGGCACUGAGGGUCCCCGUGUGGCACAGAAGGGCAGGACGCGCCCCGAGACGGAGGUCGGCUUACUCGUGGGCACCAGAGACGUGAAAAUCCUUUGGGAGAAACUGAGGGGCUGUAUAGACUCACAACUACUCCCACCUCCUCACCUCCAGGGCGGUGGAGGAGAGGCCACCGGCAGUGGAUCAGCCCACCCGUCCACCAGUGCACCCACCUACCCAUGCCCCCACCCACCCACUGAUCCACCCACCACGCACUCAUCCAUCGUCCGGCUGUCUGAUGCUCACGUGUCCAACGUGUGUCACGCACAUUGGAGACACAGCUGUAUGAGUUGCACCCCCACCCUGCAGAGGGGACAGGAAGUGAUGUCCCGUGUCCCCGGGCAGGAUGAGUCGCCCCCUGCCCUACCCGUGAGCCCCAGUCGGUGGGCUCAGACAGCUAGAGCAGGAGCUAGAGCAGGAGGAAUUCAGAAGGGCGCAUGCUGGAGGGGGUUGAGGAGCGUCUGGAGGGCGGAGGCAGCCAGGCACACGUCCAGUGGGGAGGGGCCUAAGCCCGGGCAUGGA